CACAGUGUCCUUUGCCCCCACCUGUCGAGCACUGCUUUCCAGCAGUUCUGUUAAUGUUACGGCGAGGGAAUUAGCUAGCUAGUGUAGCCAACCAAACUCUUGCGUGGCACUACCAGCGAUUACACUCACCGUAACGUUACAAUAACUGUGGGAAAGCAGUGUACAGCAGGCGGGGGCAAGCGACACUGUGUGCCGGUGUCCUAGCUAGCUAGCAGCCUCAAUGGCAGUGGGUGCAGCAUGUAGUAAGUGAUGCGUAGUGGGUGUAGCAUGUAGUGGGUGUAACCAGUGUGAAAUGGCUAGCUAGUUAGAGGUGCGGAUCACUCGCUCUGAGACCUUGAAGUAGUUGUUUCCCUUGCUCUGCAAGGGCUGUGGCUUUCGUGGAGCGAUAGGUAGCUAAUGGUUCUUCAAGGGUGACUGUUGUUAAUGUGUUCAGAGGGUCCCUCGUUCAAGCCCAGUUUGGGGGCGAGGAGAGAGGCGGAAGCAACACUGUUACAUUAAUGCUGUUGACCUGGAUCACUCAGUUGGACUCUGCUCGGUUGCUGCGGAGAAGGAGGAGGUCAAAGGGGGGUGAGUGUAACUGGUGUGAAAUGGCUAGCUAGUUAGUGGUGUGCGUUAGUAACAUCCAGUCGGUGACAUCACUUGCGUUGAGACCUUGAAUAAUUUGUUUUGCUUGCUCUGCAAGGGCCGUGGCUUUUGUGGAGCGAUAGGUAACGAUGCUUCGUGGGAGGCAGUUGUUGAUGUGUUCAGAGGGUCCCUGGUUCAACCCCAGGUGGGGGUAAGGAGAGGGACGAAAGCAACACUGUUACAUGAGCGCUGCAUGUAGUAAACGCGGUCGGCAGAAUUUCUAGGCAGCACGUCAAAAAUGUAAUCUCCCAAUCCCAUGUAUCCUUAGCUGGGGAGGCAAUCCCAAAACACCUUCCGGCGCAGCAAAUUUUUUUAAGGAUUCUGAAUUAAUGUAGCACAUUUUCCAGAAGAAUAAGGAAUAACGUGAAAUGGACUAAAGUGGGCACCUGAUUUUGUUUCACUCCUUAGCAUUGGCUUGGCAAGAGAAAAUAGUCCUGCCCAACUCGUUUGAAGGUUGAAGGACAUCCCACCCUGACACCCUGCAGAUGUAAAUAACUUGUUGUGAACCUCCCAGCCACCAGGAGAAUCACCAUAUCCCAGGAUAUUAUUCUGGAGUGUGCAACAUCACAAUGUUAGAUAUAAAUAGAUUUGCCCAUGUUAUUGUUUAUCAUGCAGAUUUGUCAGGACAUUGUAAUUUAUGAAGCUCAUUCUAAAAUACAGACAUUGCACUGUGUGCAAGUUUUCAGUUUAGACCACAAUUAAUUGAAUAAGGUGUUAGUGAAGGGCUGGAACAAAAACUUGUAAACUUCUCUCCUGUGUAUAAAACAGUGACUGUCAUGACAAAUUUUGCCCUCAUGUACUGAACAAUCUUAUGAAUGUUGGAGGUUAAUCUCCUUGAUGUCCCUCAUUUGGGAAUUACUUAUUUUGCACAAUGGACUGUGUUUUAAGGACUCAUGCACAAAUACAGGAAAAUAAAUAAAAAUGUUAACAUUUAUUCAAAAUUACAAUUGUUGAUGUCUCCACAUGUUCUGGUUUUGAGGCUUGAGCAUCCGGUGACUGCAGUUCAUCUGUUUAAUCCCCUGCAGGGAGAGAGAAAGGCAUCGAUAAUAUUACAAUGCUGUAUUAAUUUCAUUGAAUAUUUAUUCCUGUUUGAUAUGCAUUUACACAGUAUAAUUAUAUUGGACAUGUUAUCCUUUA